CAAGAGCGAAACAUCAGGAACACAAAAGGAUGGCACAAGAGCACUGAGCUCCUGCAAACAGCAGCCACGACAGCGGCGCCAUCUUCAAAAAAAAUAAAAGAAGCGGAAGAAUAUGGAUGGAUGGGCAGGAAAGCACCAAAUAAAUUUCAUUUAAUUUGAAUGGGAGAUGUUGAUUUGAGGUUUAAGUGUUUCGAGUCAAGAGCUCCAUCACAAAACCAAGCUUGUAAGUUGAGGCCAUUCCACUCUUUUUUGAAUGUCGCUGAAUAUCAAACAUAAAAUGCAGGAUGAUUGCUGUUUUUAUAAAGCAAAGUAAAUAUAUAAUUCAUGGGAUAGUCAAGAUACUAAGUGGCUGAUUCAGUAAAAAUGUAAGCCAUCGCAAAAUCCCACCACAAUAAUUCAAAUUGAUAAUCAAAACAAAACUUUGAUAACAUAAUCAAUCAAAAGUUUGCAUUGAUUUUGAAGCAACUUUAAUUAGAUCUCAUUUUAAUGUGGUCAUAAUUCAAUAGCUAAGUAUACUAAAAUUUUUAGUUUUGCAAAUUUUCCUCGCCCGUGCAUCUGCAUGCAAUAGACCAGUGUUUUUCAAUCACUGUGCCGUGGCACACUAGUGUGCCGUGAGAUACAGUCUGGUGUUGCCAAUCAACCUAUCCUGGGGAUAGGUUGAUUGGCAACACUAACUAAAUUGCCCCUAGUGUGUGAAUGUGAGUGUGGAUGUUGUCUGUCUAUCUGUGUUGGCCCUGCGACGAGGUGGCAACUUGGCCAGGGUGUAUGCCGCCUUCCGCCCGAACGCAGCUGAGAUAGGCUCCGGCGAACCCCCGCGACCCCGAAUUGGACAAGCUAUAGAAAAUGGAUGGAUGGUUUGAAAAUAUUUUUUGCAAAGUUGUAAUUAUAGUCUGCAAUUUAUGCUUUGUUGAGUGUCGGUGCUGUCUUGAGCUCGGCAGAGUAAUCAUGUAAUAGUCCUCCAUAUCAGUAGUUGGCAGCAGAGGGCUAAUUGCUUUGUCGAUGUCGGAAACAGCGGGAGGCAGUGUGCAGGUAAAAAGGUGUCUAAUGCUUAAACUAAAAAUAAACAAAAGGUGAGUGCCCCUGAGGAAAGGCAUUGAAGCUUAGGGAAGGCUAUGCAGAAAAAAUCUAAAACUGAACUGGCUACAAAGUAAAACAAAAACAGAAUUCUGGACGACAACAAAGACUUACAGAGGAGCAAAGACGGUGUCCACAAUGUACAUCCGAACAUGACAUGACAAGUAACAAUGUCCCCACAAAGACGGAUAAAAACAACUGUAAUCUUCUUGAUUGCUAAAACCGAGUAGAUGCGGUAUAUAUCGUUUAAAGAACGACAUGAAACUGCUACAGGAAGUACCAAAAAAAGAGAAAAAGCCACCAAAAUAGGAGCGCAAGUGUUAUGACACACGCUCAGUCUUCCCUGCCUUCAUCUGCGGGAGCACUCGGCGGCUCCACUGAGUGCGUCCACACGCGCCACAUCCAGACACGCUCCCUCGCGGUCCGCUCACACACACAGCUGGAGACGAUCACCAAUCAAGACACCUGGCGGUGAUUACGGACGACAGAAUAAAGAUUCCCGCCGCUGAACCCUCGUCGUUGGAACGUUGCUAUUGCUUGCAGUAAGCCUCACGUAUCUGUCAAGCGACAUCCCAUGGUCCAUGUUUCCCAAAUCAAACCAGUUGUUACUUCCCCCCUCCCAGGAUUUUGGACAAUGGUGACCCCGUUUGGACCGUUAAAGAGAUUCUUGGGAUCCGUCGGCAAGGUAGGUGGUUAGUUUAUUUAGUUGAUUGGGAGGGUUAUGGGCCUGAAGAUAGGUCUUGGGUCCCUGCCUCCUAGUUUGCUGACCCAUCGCUGCUUGAGGACUUCUAUCGGGCCAACCCGGGAGCUCUUCGGCGCUCGUCGGGGGUCUCGCAUAAGGGGGGGGCGGGCACUGUUAUGACACACGCUCAGUCUUCCCUGCCUUCAUCUGCGGGAGCGCUCGGCGGCUCCACUCUGAGUGUGUCCACACGCGCCACAUCCAGACACGCUCCCUCGCGGUCCGCUCACACACACAGCUGGAGACGAUCACCAAUCAAGACACCUGGCGGUGAUUACGGACGACAGAAUAAAGAUUCCCGCCGCUGAACCCUCGUCGUUGGAACGUUGCUAUUGCUUGCAGUAAGCCUCACGUAUCUGUCAAGCGACAUCCCAUGGUCCAUGUUUCCCAAAUCAAACCAGUUGUUACUUCCCCCCUCCCAGGAUUUUGGACAAUGGUGACCCCGUUUGGACCGUUAAAGAGAUUCUUGGGAUCCGUCGGCAAGGUAGGUGGUUAGUUUAUUUAGUUGAUUGGGAGGGUUAUGGGCCUGAAGAUAGGUCUUGGGUCCCUGCCUCCUAGUUUGCUGACCCAUCGCUGCUUGAGGACUUCUAUCGGGCCAACCCGGGAGCUCUUCGGCGCUCGUCGGGGGUCUCGCAUAAGGGGGGGGCGGGCACUGUUAUGACACACGCUCAGUCUUCCCUGCCUUCAUCUGCGGGAGCGCUCGGCGGCUCCACUCUGAGUGUGUCCACACGCGCCACAUCCAGACACGCCCCCUCGCGCGGACCGCUCACACACAGCCGGAGACGAUCACCAAUCAAGACACCUGGCAGUGAUUACGGACGACAAAAUAAAGAUUCCCGCCGCUGAACCAUCGUCGUUGGAACGUUGCUAUUGCUUGCACCCCUGUCUCCAUUCCUGCUGCCAUCCUCUCUGGAACCCUGAUUUGCUCUCCUGGAUCCCCGACACAUUGCCUGGACUUUGGACGUUCUCUCCUGCCCCACGACCACGCUCGGACACCGGAUUGCUUUUGCCUUCUCCCUCUGGUUUUGGACGCCACCAUCCAACACGCACGACAACAUUCUUUACGGUAUUUCCAUAUGUUAAUUCCAGCACAUAGUUCACACUCAAACACAUAGUAGCAUACACAUCCCACGUAAUCAUUAAUUACUCAAUAAAUAUUGAGUUGGACUUCCA